rnacentral:rRNA from 1 species
UCGCCUGUUUACCAAAAACAUGGCUUCGCGUAGUGUCAAAAAUGCGAAGUCGGACCUGCCCAGUGAGUUUUUAAACGGCCGCGGUACUCUGACCGUGCAAAGGUAGCAUAAUCAUUUGCCUUAUAAUUGAAGGCUGGAAUGAAUGGUUUGACAAGAAUAUACCUGUCUCCUUUAGAUUAUUUAGAAUUUUAUCUUUGGAUGAAAAAGUCCAGAUUUAAUUAAUAGACAAGAAGACCCUAUCGAGCUUCAGAAAAAUUAAUAGAUUUAAGGUGAAUCAAUAUACUUAAAAGAAGGGCUAUUAAAAUACUUUGGUUGGGGCAACUGAGGAGCAGUUAAAGCCUCCUUUAGCUUAUUAAUUCUUACUAGUGUUGAUCCAAAGAUUUUGAUCAAAGGAAUUAGUUACCGUAGGGAUAACAGCAUUAUCUUUUUCAAGAGCCCAUAUCGAAAAAAAGGUUUGUGACCUCGAUGUUGGACCAGAAUAUCCUAAAGAUGCAGAAAUCUUUAAGGGUUGGUCUGUUCCGACCAUUAAAAUUCUAC